AAGUAGUUCGGAUCGCUUUUUGGUUGCAGCUGAGAAAUUCCUGGUUCACCUCAUCUUCCUGGCUCCUGGAAAGCUCGUCGACCCUUCUGGACAGUUUGGGUUCAUUGGCCGGUCGUUUUGCUAAUUGGCAGUGGCAGUGAUAAAUAUACAAUUAAUUACUGGUAGUCGCUAAAGAGCGGGACAUCUGCAGCUUAUUUGGCUGAUAGGAAAAUUAACCAAGGCAUCGGCAAAGGUCGACAAGGCUAAGUCAUCGUUAGAGGUGGCAAUUGGAAACGCAACGUUCAUGGCCCAUCGAAAGCAAAUUAGAACAGUCAAUCAGAACACAGCUACAAGACCAAACAUUACAAUAUCGACCGAGUUUCCAAAUGGAAAUGACGAAGAAGGAAGCGAUGAAGAGCCAUUUUUGGGAUUCCCGGAAAGUGAAACUAAAGGAAGCAGAAAACGAAAAGCAGCGGAAGUUCCUGAAUCGGCAACGGCCGUUCCGAGGCGUUCGAAACGAUUGCGAUUGUCUAAGGUUGAUCCUGAGUACAUUUAUUAUAGUAACUCAUCAUGGCUAUAAGCCGAUCUGAAUCUUAUUUAUUAAGAUAGAUGUUGAUUAGUUUAAAUUGGCUAAUGCCGAAUCGAAAUAGAUUAGUUUAUAAUUAUAAGCAUUAAUUCGUUCGAAUACUGAAUUCAAUUGUAAAUUAUGAACUAAAGAAGGAAGAGCUGUAAUGUAUAACAAUUUUGUUAUGAUACUUUUAUUUGGUUCAGUGUAAAAUCAGCAUAAAUCAAGUAACGCAUCAUAACGCGUUGA